AGAGUUUGAUCAUGGCUCAGGACGAACGCUGGCGGCAUGCCUAACACAUGCAAGUCGAACGGAGUAAUGACUUCGGUUAUUACUUAGUGGCGAACGGGUGAGUAACACGUGAAUAAUCUGCCCUGUACGAUGGGAUAACAGCUGGAAACGGCUGCUAAUACCGUAUAUGACCACGCCGAGGCAUCUCGGAGGGGUGAAAGCGCUUAAGCGGUACAGGAUGAGUUCGCGUCCAAUUAGCUAGUUGGUGAGGUAACGGCCCACCAAGGCGACGAUUGGUAGCCGACCUGAGAGGGUGAUCGGCCACACUGGAACUGAGACACGGUCCAGACUCCUACGGGAGGCAGCAGUGGGGAAUAUUGGGCAAUGGAGGAAACUCUUACCCAAGCAAUGCCGCGUGAGUGAUGAAGGUCUUCGGAUUGUAAAGCUCUUUGAUUGGGGACGAAUAAAUGACGGUACCCAAGGAACAAGCCCCGGCUAACUAUGUGCCAGCCGCCGC
rnacentral:rRNA from 1 species